GGGGUGAGGCGGGCCCGGCCCGGCCCGGCCUCCGCGCAGGGAGGGCCCGCAGACGGGGGUGUCCCGGCUCCGCGGAGCUGGGGGAGUCUCUGCCCGCGGCCCUGUGGCCCGAUUCGCGGGGCUCGCCGUUCCCGCUGCCUGCCGGGGCCCUCGGGUGAGCGAGCCCGGUCGCCCGGGGCGAGGGGGAAGGAUGCAGCUUCGCUCGGCCGGCGCUGCGCGUGUGGCGUGAGGCUGCCGGAGCCGAGACUGGCGCGGAGACGCAGAGAUGUUGCAGAAUCCCUCCUUCGGCGGGGCAGGGCGGGCCGGCAGGGAGGCACCCGCUGGUGCUGCGCGUAAUUCCCAGCGUUCGGGCACCACCGUAUGGGGCACGCAGAGGUACAGCUGACAAACCCCGUGUUCCUCAAGGGUGCAGAAGGAAACACCGUUUUUCUGCUCUUCUGUCGGUCACUUGAUUGAUCAUGAAUAUUUAUGGCUGUUCAUCUUCUGCUUUAUCUCAUAGGGUGUAUGGUAAGUCCUGAUGCCAUUCAAGACUUACGGAAAGCGCGCUCUCGCCUGAAAACAGAGCUUUCAUCUAUCUGUGAUCCCAAUGAGCUAAGGGGACCUCGAGGAACUUGUGGAGGGGGCCAACAGAAACCUCCAGGGGAGUAUACUACCUGCAGAAGGGUGCGGCGUGAGGGGCACAAAUGUGGAUGACUGGGCAAGAUGAAAGGAGUUAAAACCUGAUGCAGUCCCAUCCAUACCAGCUACUAAAAAUAGUCUCCAGACCAGUUGAACCACCAAACCACACUGGCAGAAUCUAAUUCUUCUGCUCCAGCUGGGAUCACAGGAGUGAUUUAGCAUUUUACGAAGCAUGCACAAUUGUUUGAAUGAGUCCCUGGAGAGAACAAGAGCUAUUUAUCUCAGCUAACAGCCACCUCUCUAUGCCAAACACCUCAAAUGGUGGGACACGUCCAGGGGCAUGGACCAUCCUGCUGUCAGUGAUUGGCUGAAAUUCCCCAACCCAUGUCACAUCACAUGACAAGACAAUACUCUCAAAUUCUGUCCUGUGAUGAUUUAACACUAAUAUUGGAGGAAAAAAACCCCUGUGUACCACAGAUUCGAGUAUGUGACCUCCGUAGUAGAGGGUGAGGAGUUGGGAACAAGCAGGAAUACAGAACUGGAACCGUGCAAGGUUCUGGACAAAGGAGUUGGACUCCUGAGCUCCUGGAAAUUAGCCAUACCUGUUCCCCUCAUAAAUCUGAUCCUCUUGUUACAAGGGAGACUGUUUUUUCAUACUGGCAGGAAUGCAUGUCCCAUUUCUAUUUGCUAUGGAACACCUUUCAUUUGCUUCUCCUUUAUCAUGUGUUUUCUGCUCUGUUUUCCUCUUUUAUAAUUUCUGCCUUUGGAUUUCUGUCCAGACAGAAGCAAGAUGUUCAUCCUCUUAGUAUCUCUGUAUUAAAAGAGUAAGCGUGACUAGGGCAUAUGUUCCAAUGCAGCCCUUUGAUCAGCCGCACUGUUUAAUUGUUGUCAUGCUUCUUGGCACAGUUUUGACCCGUAACCACCAUCAGUCUUCACGACAAUGAUCAGGCAUGGUUCAUAAACCAGGGACAACUCUCCACAGGCAGAAUGGACAAGGACAUUUUUGUUGAGGGCCAAAGACUGUUAAGUUUUUUAGAUAUGAGCUGUGCUAUGCCACUUCUGGCCCGAAGGGAAGAAGGGCCUGGGGCCCCAUCCCAUUUUAUUUAUUGGCUAGAUGUUGAUAUUGAUGAUAAUAAGUAAGACUCCCACUGAUUUCAGUGAUACCAAAAUUUCAAAUUACCAAUUUCAUGGCAUAGCCUCCUAACAGGAAAAGGCACUGAUUUCAGUAACAAAGAUAAGGAAAUUGAACACCGAUACUAUUAUCAGAUCCAAAGAAUGGGUAAAAACAAGCUCUUCUCAAACUCUACAAAAAAAAGGAAAAGAGUAGAAGUAUUCCAAGCGCAGUUUCAGUUGAAACCUAUUUGCAGAAAAUUAACUGGAAUUUAAAGCCACUCCUACAGCGUUAAUUGCAAUGCUGAUUUCUAUCAGUAACAUCUGGGCCGUUCAUCUGGCAAGGAAUGUAGAAUAUAAAUCUCCUUUUUAUUACAAAGUGAUUUAUACAUAUCCUGUUAUCCCUUAUUAAACUCUGUCUUUUUUACAGCUUA